UGGGGAAUUGUUCGCAAUGGGCGCAAGCCUGACGACGCAACGCCGCGUGGAGGAUGAAGAUCUUCGGGUCGUAAACUCCUUUCGAUCGGGAAGAACGUUUUCCGGGUGAACAAUCCGGAGAAGUGACGGUACCGAGAGAAGAAGCCCCGGCUAACUCUGUGCCAGCAGCCGCGGUAAUACAGGGGGGGCAAGCGUUGUUCGGAAUUACUGGGCGUAAAGGGCCAGUAGGCGGCCAACUAAGUCCGACGUGAAAUCCCCAGGCUUAACUUGGGAACUGCGUCGGAUACUGGUUGGCUUGAAUUCGGGAGAGGGAUGCAGAAUUCCAGGUGUAGCGGUGAAAUGCGUAGAUAUCUGGAGGAAUACCGGUGGCGAAGGCGGCAUCCUGGACCGACAUUGACGCUGAACGGCGAAAGCUAGGGGAGCAAACGGGAUUAGAUACCCCCGUAGUCC
rnacentral:rRNA from 1 species